GGUGGCUCAGUGGUAGAGCGCUUGCCUUGCAUGCAUGAGGGCAUGAGGCCCUGGGUUCAAUUCCUCAGCACCA
rnacentral:tRNA from 1 species